UACAUCCUGUGGCAUGCAAUGACGACACAAUCAGUAGGCCAUAUGAUUGGCUGACUGCUGGAUCCGCAGCAGGUUCAGCUACAAGAUACAAGAUGAUACAAAGCCUGGUCAGUGACAUGGUGGUGAUUGCAGUGCUGUGGCUUUUUGGUCCAUAUUGCUUGUGUUGGGCAUCUACAUCUCUGGUCGGCGAGUGCAAUUUGUAAGAUACAAAUCAAGAUUCAUUAGCCUCCCUUGCAGAAGGUUGUGAAAGUGAAAGGCAGUUGUGGUCCUGUCAGUGAAUUUGGAGGCUUCCCCAAUAAUCAUACCUAGGUUAACUGAAAUGUAAAUAGCCGUCCCCAUUUGGAUUGUUGUCCUGUCAGUCAGUUUUCUUCCUUUCCCAAAGUGUAAAAAGGUUUGUCGAUGCUUCAUCAUAUCAUAAGUCGGGUCUGGCGGGGUCUGCCCGGGCAAGUGGUUGUUUAUAUGGGCCAGGAAGGGAGAAUGCAUGCACAUGUCUCCUCACAGAUGUUCUUCAAUAGAUAGAUGCUCCUUUCCAGCUAAUAUAGCAUUAGAGGUGAGUUGUUACUAUGGCUUGCUUUAACCAGUGUUGUCCAGGUCAUUCUUUCUAAGCAUUGGACUAUCAUCAUCCAGUGUUGUCGUCAUAGCAGGGCUUCAUUGUCCAUUUGUACAUAUGAACUGCAUUUGUACAGUAGUUAAUUCUCUUAAGAUAAGUUGUAAUGCAUGUUUGUCCUUGGGUGUAUCUGGCAUAUUUUGAAUAAUUAAGUGAAAAAGAAGCUUGUCUCUGUGUACACAUUGUUGUUUCUUUUGCUAGAAUCAUGGGCUGUGGUCUCUGAAUAUUUUGUGUGGAAUUCUGUAUGGUUUAUUUUGAUGGUUAAGAGAUGAUGCAGCAUGAGGUUGAAUGCCAAAGGGUGUUGGAUGCUGCUAGAUUUAUCUUGAGAAACUAGAGGCAUCACAAACAAGCGGAGGUGUUGUUGCAUUGAAGCAACUGGCAAGAGGAUUCCGGGAUGCGCUGAAAUGAAAUUUUACUUGCAUUUCAGAGCAUGCGAGGAGACAAUGGGUGUCAUUUUGAGUUGUGAUAUUUCACCAUUGAAUGCUGGCUGGCAGCUUGGCAAGUCAAGACUAAAAAGGCCACCUGGUAUAGUGGUAUUCAUGCCAAAUCCAGUUGACCGAUCACAGCCCCACACCCACACACAUGCGGCAAUGGCGGAGCUUCGAUCCUUGUUCGACGAUGGUACUCCGCUGAAUAGAUGCGUUGCAAAUAGAAUGCAGCAGUAGUCCAGCAGCGAGUAGCUGACAUCGGCACCAGCCGGCCGCGAGAUGAGCUGCUCACCGCGGCCAGGACCUGACCACCACCUCCUGCUUGCCACCCUCGCGCGCCACGGCCGCCUCGCCGCCGCCGCCACGCUCUUGUCCACGGCCGUCCGCACAACACGCGCGCUCAACACCAUACUCGCCGCCCUCUGCUCCUCCCCGUCGCUGCUCCGCGCCGCCCCCUCCGUGCUCCUCCUCGCCGCCCCCACCGCCUCCCCUGACGCGGCCACCUUCCGCGUCCUCACCUCCGCGCUCUGCCGCGCAAGCCGCCCCUCCGCCGCCGCCGGCCUCGUGCGCUGCAUGCCCUCCCUCCACCUCGACCCGGACUCGCCGCUGUGCCGCGCCGUGCUCUCCUCCCUGUGCCGCUACGCCCCGGCGCGGGACGCGGCGGCGUUCCUGGACGACAUGCGCCGGUGGGGCGUCCCGCCCAGCGGGCUUGAUCACCGCGCCGUCCUCCGCGCCCUGCUACGUGAGGGGAUGGUGGCGGAGGCAUACGAGGUCGUCAAGGAGAAGAUGGGCUCCGAUGGCGUGGCCCCCGGGGUGGCCGACUUCGAGCUGUUGCUGCGCGCGUUCAGCGAGCGCGGGCAGUUCGACGCCGUCGACGAGGCGUUCGACGAAAUGCUCCUUCGAGGGCUCGUGCCGGGCGUGGCCGUCUACAACGUGUACGUCGCCGCGCUGUGCAAGAAAGGGGACCUGGCCGGCGCGCGCCGGAUGGUGGAGUGCAUGGAGCGCGCCGGCUGCCCGCCGGACGUCAGGACGUUCAGCGUCGUGGUCGCCGGGUGCGUGUCCGCAGGGGACGCCGGCGCUGCCAGGGACGUGGCGUGGGAGGCGGUGCAGCGGGGCCUGCGGUGGGACACGCCGUCGAUGGUGGAGCUGGUCGGCCUGCUCCGGGCGGGCGGGCACGUCGCGGACGCGCACGGGCUACUGCUGGACGUGUUCCUGCACGGCGGGUGCACUGGAGUGGACGCCUCGACGCUCGGGCAGCUGAUAUGUGCCGGCGAAGACGCCUGCAGCGUGAUCACAGAUCACCCGAAAGACUAGAAAGUGCAUCACAUUUUGAGGUCCAUGCCUCGUUUAAUCUGUUCCGAAUGUUUCAGCUGAAGGUCAAUCCGUCAAUGCAUUCUAGUGCUUGAUGAAUGUCCACUGGAUAUUUAGAUGUACGUAUUUCACAUAACUUUUUAAGAGUUUAAUUGCUUUGUGCACAAACUUGAAAUGCAUGCUGCGCCUAGGUGUGAAACUCCCAAAGUGGUACCCGUGAGCCCAAAUCCCUCAGUCACCGUUCUCUUACCCUCUCCCCGCCACACUAGAUCCACCGCGCCGCCGCGCCGGUGCGGGACGAGACUUGCCUGAGCCCCAUGCGUGCGCCCAUCCAUGCUCACCCCGUUAAAAUCAGAGGGAUGAUUAGAUUAGGAAGGAAAAAGAAAAAGGGACAAUCAUAGAGUGAAGUGGGAGUACGGAUGGAAGCAUGGGGAGGGAGCAGACAAGCCGAAUCCAGGGUGCGAGCAUGCCGUCGUGGAAUGACGAGAGACGUCCUCUGACUCUGAUCUCGAUUUCUACUCCGAUAAUGAUUCGAUGAGGAGUGAACGUUGAUCUGGCUUUUCCCGGUUUGAGGAUUUACUGUCCCUAUAUUAAAUCAAUUUGGUUGGUGCUUUAGAUGCCGUACACGAUUUCGUACAAGGAUUGGAGCGGGCUAGCACGUGAUGUAUCUGCACGGUGCUUCUAUAAGCUUCCUGUGAAAAGAAGUUGGCUUUUGAGUCAUUUGAUACCGAGAGGAAGUUUUUGGAUGUGGUAUGCCAUGUGAGUUCUUUUUAACUCACUAGAUGACCGUUGCGUCAAUUGGUGUAGAGAUCAAACUGCAACCUGGAAGUUAAGCAAACUAUGUGAAACAAAAAAUAAAAGUCAAAUGAACUAUUUGAAGAGACGAACUAACGAACUGCAACUCAGAAUUAAGUGAACUAUUUGAAAUAUAAAAUAUAAAUUAAGUGAACUGUUUGAAGAGAUCAACUACAUCCAUUAUUAUCAAUGCAUCUCUGUUAUUACGCCCGGUGUAAUGGAUGAGGAUCAAAUGACCCGUUGAAGUAAGUAGGUGUCUUUCUUAGCUUUGUGUCUUCAAGUCUAAUUGCAUUCAUGUUUGCAUUGACACUUUUAUUUUAGCAUAGCUGCUAUUAGAGCUGAUCUUGGAAUAGACCUCGCCGGUAAAAAAAAGCGCAUCGAUAGCUCUAUAUCCGAGAUGGGAUUGCCCAAGUCGGCCUGUUCUUUUCCGCGCGUCACCGUAUCGGUCUCUGUUCAAACUCCCGAGCACACGCUCUUUUGAGCAGCUAUACCUGGCCACAUGUCCUUUCGGUCCGGGUAGUGGACUAACCACCUUUAGUAGCCAGACAAUGUUUUGCUCCGGCUGGUUGACGUCGUCAUCGUGCAUUCAGCGAUGGAGUACCAAUACGAACCCUCAUGCCGCCACUAUUUUCAGCGUUACAACGAGCCGGCGAGGCAGCCUAGAAGAGCCAUCGUAACCAGAAGCCCGACCACUAGACCAACUAUAGCCCAAAACUUAAGCGAACUAUUUGAAACUACAUGCCGCCGGGCUUUGCCAGUUGGUCUGGUCACCUCAAUCCAUGGUACUUUCGUACUUCUUAGUCCGUUUGGUAUAAGGCUGCUCCUUUAGUAGCAAUUGAACAUGUGUAAUAGCCAUAAUGUUGAUCAUUCGAUCAUUAUUAUGACUCAUAAUAAUCGCAAGUUGGGGAGUAUUUUGAUGGCAUUGCUCGCAGCUGCCGAAUCAUAUGAUCAACAAAAUCUCAACAACAACCACGAGUUCUGACCGACUAUACGGGUUGGCAUAGAUCGAGAUUAGGAUUUGUCACUCCAGUAUCGGGGAGGUAUCUCUGGGCCCUCUCGGUAAUGCACAUCAUAAGAAGCCUUGCAAGCAAUGUGACUGAUGAGUUAGUUGCGAGAUGAUGCAUUACGGAAUGAGUAAAGAGACUUGCUGGUAACGAGAUUGAACUAGGUAUGAAGAUACCGACGAUCGAAUCUCGGGCAAGUAACAUACCGAUGACAAAGGGAAUAACGUAUGUUGUCAUAACGGUUCGAUCGAUAAAGAUCUUCAUAGCAUAUGUGAGAGCCAAUAUGAGCAUCCAGGUUCCGCUAUUGGUUAUUGACCGGAGAGGUGUCUCGGUCAUGUCUACAUAGUUCUCGAACCCAUAGGGUCCACAUGCUUAACGUUUGAUGACAAUUUGUAUUAUAUGAGUUAUGUGAUUUGGUGACCGAAUGUUGUUCGGAGUCCGGAAUGAGAUCACAGACAUAACGAGGAGUCUCGAAAUGGUCAAGAGUAAAGAUUCAUAUAUAGGACGAUAGUAUUCGGACACCGGAAGUGUUCCGGGGGUACCAGGUACGUAUAGGGUCACCGGAAGGGGUUUCGGGCAUCCCCCCGGCAACUACAUGGGCCUAAUGGGCCAAGAGUGGGAUAGACCAGCCCCUAAGGGGCUGGUGCGCCCUAUGUAGGCCGAAAUAGAGGGGGAAGGAAAGAGGGGAAGAGAGAAAGGAAGGGGAGGGAUUCAGCCUCCCCCUUCCUUCUCUCCCCCUCCUCCUUCCUCCCCCUUUGGGAAUUAUGGUGUGUGUGUGUNNNNNNNNNNNNNNNNNNNNNNNNNNNNNNNNNNNNNNNNNNNNNNNNNNNNNNNNNNNNNNNNNNNNNNNNNNNNNNNNNNNNNNNNNNNNNNNNNNNNNNNNNNNNNNNNNNNNNNNNNNNNNNNNNNNNNNNNNNNNNNNNNNNNNNNNNNNNNNNNNNNNNNNNNNNNNNNNNNNNNNNNNNNNNNNNNNNNNNNNNNNNNNNNNNNNNNNNNNNNNNNNNNNNNNNNNNNNNNNNNNNNNNNNNNNNNNNNNNNAGGCGCCUAGAACACACAACAUCAACUAUUUCUAGCCGUGUGCGGCGCCCCCCUCCGUAGUUUAUGCCUCCAGUCAUAUUCACGUAGUGCUUAGGCGAAGCCCUGCGCAGAUCACUUCACCAUCACCGUCACCACGCCAUCGUGCUGAUGCAACUCUCCCUUGACACUUUGUUGGACCAAGAGUUUGAGGGACGUCAUUGAGAUGAACGUGUGUAGAACUCGGAGGUGUCGUACGUUCGGUACUUGAUCGCUCGGAACGAGAAGAAGUUCGACUACAUCAACCGCGUUAACAAACGCUUCCACUUUCGGUCUAUGAGGGUACAUGGACACACUCUCCCCCUCUCAUUGCUAUGCAUCUCCUAGAUAGAUCUUGCGUGAGCGUAGGAUUUUUUUUGAAAUUCCAUGCUAUGUUUCCCAACACUAGGGUUUGCAAAUGGGGCGGUUACAAUCCUUAGAGAUAGGUAUGCCGGUACAAGUACGCUUGAAGUGAAUGCCAAGUCUUCAGGAAAUUUUCAUCUCGAUCACGCCAAGGGCCAGGGCCAUGGCUCAUCUCAUCCACCUUCAAUGGGUCGUCGGCCCAACCCACAACUGGCGGACAGACGUGGCAAGUACUCCCUAAUCCAGGACAAUAAUAGUAGCCCCCGAACUAGUCUUCAAGCCGAGGAUAUUUGACGUCUUCUUCGAGUUGUCUUUAUGCACUUGUGCCUUCGGCUUUUUAGACUAGUUCCAUCCACCACGUCGGCUUACAAUUUCGAGGUCAUGUCCGGUUCCGAGGUCUUCUAGGCUUCCUUGGUCGCAACAUAUGAUUCUCGAGAUCUUUAUCUCGCCAUGAGAUCUACUCUUCGGCUUGCCUUAUUGGCAUUACCAGGCCAAAGUAGCAUCCAAGCCCGUGUGCAGAAGGGCUUGACUAGGUCAAACCCUAACAACUUUUAUCAAGGGCCAAAACGUAACCUCACGUGGCAGAAUCAAUCCAUUUAAUCCAUAGUUUUUAUGAGGGGCAUCACCCAAGGCCAGUUUCUAUUGGCAUGUCCCAUCCAUGAGGUAGGAGGUCUUUCAGUCUUCCAGCAACCUCAUUAUUACACACUUGACUUUUACACACAUUAACUGCGUGACACAUCCGGAAGUGGUGAUCUGCUCCCCAUAACGGGGCAACCCCUAGACUUCGGCUGCCCUAUAAGAAGGUUGGACCGGGGGGGGGGGCAACAAAUCCAUUUCACCUUCCUCCUCACCUCUUGACACUGCAACGUAAAACCUCUAUCCAACGCCGUCAUUUUAAGAUCCACCUUGCCUUGCAUCCACCACUCAAGAUGGACGAUGCAGAGAAGGGUCUCGAAGUCGAAUCCUGCAGCGGAGGAGGGCGGUGGAUGUGCUCCACCAUCAGUGCUGGUGCCCUAGCUGAGCUCAAAGCCGCCGAACACCCCCCCCAUGACCAAGUGUUGCUCUCCCUUAGAGGAGGGUGCUAUUCACUUCGUAUCGCAAUCCCCGCUCCACACGAAGGAGAGCGGGUAAUUUUCAUUCCGCAUCUUGCCGGUGGUCUAGGUUUUCCCCUUCACCCUUUCGUUCAGGGCCUUCUUUUCUAUUAUGGGAUUGACUUCCACCAUUUGGCCUCAAUCUCUAUUCUCCACAUUGCCUCAUUUAUAAUUUUUUAUGAGGCCUUCCUCUGCAUCGAACCCCACUUCAGCCUAUGGCUAAAGGUGUUUUGUGUCAAGCCGUAUUCGGUUGGUCAUGAACUUGCGGAGUGCGGAGGGGAUGUGAUUAGCCGUCUUGGAGGCGUGGUGUGGCCUGAGGGUUCCUUCGCUAACAUGGAGGAGGCCUGACGAGGGAAAUGGUUUUAUGUGGAGGACUCCUCUAUUGGCGGUCUUGAAGGGCUUCCCUCGUUCUCGACCAACACGUCGAGGUGGUUAGCCUCCUGGGCGGCCAAGGGUUUAUACUGGGGGGAGGGACCUAAGAGAGGUCAAAGUACUCCAAGGAAAACUCAAGGCCAUGGUCGGUACGGGCGUUAAUCUAGCUGACACAGUCCACGUGAUGCUCCAUCGCUAAAUUCUUCCGCUCUAGUUCCGAGCACUGCCAAUGUGGGAAUUCAGGCAUGAGGACCAUGCCGUGGUGAAAGAUUUCUUCUGCGGAGCAGACUUCGGCGAGAUGUGGAAGCCCCUUCUUGAAGAUGGCAAGGACUCCCUACCCCCUCGGGCCGAGGAUAUUGAUCCCUACCGAACUUUUCCUAUCGCUGGAGUAAAUUAUGUUACCUGGGAAUUUUCUCUCACUCAAUCACAUACAUUUAUUGUACGACGACUCAUGAUAUUUUCUCUUAACGUAGGUUUGGUGCACUCUGGCCAAGAAGAUGAAGUCUCCGGCCCUGCUUCCCAAGGAUUCUAGAACUCCCAAGCUCGAGCGGCUCCUUACUAAGGCUCCGACUAGGAGGAGGGAGAGGAAGGUUAAGAAGGAGAACCCAUCAUCCGAGAGGAUGCCUCCGACUCUAUGCAGAUCAAGGGAAGGAAGAACAAGACGAAAGAACCUGUCUCCUCAGGGAAGUGUUACCACCUCAGCCACUCAUCAUAGUUCCUCCUCUCAGCCGAGCCCCUCUGUCCAAAAGGGGAGGAAGUACAUGACAAAGAAUCCGUCCUUCCCGGAAAAUACUUCAGGAAGUCAUAAAAGCUCUUUGAGUGAUAUCGGAUGGAGGAGUAAGGAUAGAGGGGAGGAGGCAAGCUCUUCGGGAUACUGGAACCAAGCCAUGCCUAGGGAAACUGAAAGUCUAGAUCCUCCCCGACAAUAUAAGUGCUUAAGGAAGGCGCAUGCUGUCCUGACCUGCAAGGCGUCGAUACAGGUGGAGUUAAUUAACUCGGAUCCUUCUAAGGGCACUCUUCCCCAACACGACCAUCCAGAUUCCCAGAAGUAAUUUUUGUUUUACCCCAUGCACCGCGCUCCCUCUAUAGUAUUUUAUCUUGAGGCAGCGGUUGUUCUUAUUCUGUGCCACCCGCAACGAUCAUCCCACCAAGGGCAACUCUGGCACCCAAACCUCCUCAUUCGGAGUUGAAGCUCUGCCUGUUACCAACCUUGGAAUGGUCUUGCUACCAAGGUGGGAUCGGCAGAUGGAGGCGAUUUUAAAGAGUUCCUCCAUUUCCCAAGGACAAAUGGCCGUGCUUGAAAGGAUCCUAACCCAGUUCUGGUCUACCAAGGCUGUGAUGCUGGAUAUGUUCUCUGACCUUGCCAAGGUUUUUGAGAUAUGUGACCGGCUAAGCCUCUAGCAUUAGUUUUAUGACUCGGCACAGGGCGUUAAGUUUUUCCGAGGAUGAUUUAAAGCAUCAUCCGAGGUUGGAAAUUUAUAUGCUAACAAAUAGCGCAUAAAAAGUUUUUUUUACCUUGUAUGGGGAUGCAGUAGCCCCCAAGCCUUAAGUUAGUUUUGAUAAAACUGGUUUGAGGGUUGAAACCUUUUUAAUUUGGAUUUUGCAGCAGCCCCCAAGUCUUUGAAUAACAACAGGCAUCUAGAGUGUCAAAUCGUUCCUCCGACUUCAACUUGUGUAUUGUGACACACAUGACUUCAUGUCUUCCUCGGCCUCCAAUAUACAAAAUCCGGAGGAUCUAAACUGCCAGCUGACACGGUUAGAGGAGGACGUGAGUAUGAUAGAGGAAAAUAUUAGGGUGUCACAAGGUAAUUAAUAAUUACCAUGUACCGUGCGUAGAACGAUCGAGGAUCAUAAUGCAAUGUUGUUUUGUGAAGCGGUUGAAGAGGCCUCGACUACGCUUCGUGCCGAGCUAUUGAAGGUACGAUCCGAGUUGGAAUGGCACAAGGCAGCGUGAUACGUCCAUUUUGCAUCAUGUUUUCUGAUGUCACUUGAACUACGUCGGUAUUUCCCCAAAGAGGAAGGGAUGAUGCACCACAACUACGGUAGGUAUUUUCCUCAGUUAUGAAACCAAGGUAUCAAUCCAGUAGGAGAACCAAGCAACACUAUGUAAAUGGUACAUGCACACAAAGAACAAAUACUUGCAACCCGACGGUUAUGAGGGGUUGUCAAUCCCUCUACGAGUAACGGCACCAGAAAUUGUCAAGUUGACGGGAUAAAAAAUGUGAUAGAUUGGAUAAAUAGAUCUCAAUAAAACACGAAUUAAAAUAAGUAAUAAAAAAGUGCAGCAAUGUAUUUUUGGGUUUUUGGAAUAAUAGAUCUGAAAAUAAAAGCAAAUAAAAAUAGAUCUCAAAGCAAAUAUGAGGGAGAAUAGACCCGCCCCCCAUAGAUUUCACUAGUGGCUUCUCUCGAGAAAAUAGCACACGGUGGGUAAAUAAAUUACUGUUGGGUAAUUGAUAGAAGGUCGAAUAAUUAUGACAAUAUCCAAGGCAAUGAUCAUUAUAUAGGCAUCACGUCCAAGAUUAGCAGACCGACUCCUGCCUACAUCUACUACUAUUACUCCACACAUUAACCGCUAUCCAGCAUGCAUCUAGUGUAUUAAGUUCAUGGAGAAACAGAGUAAUGCAAUAAGAACGAUGUCAUGAUGUAGAUGAGAUCUAUUCAUGUAGGAAUAAUCCCCAUCUUGUUAUCCUUAAUAGAAACGAUACAUACGUGUCUUGCUGCCCCUUCUGUCACUGGGAAAGAACACCGCACGAUCGAACCCAUCACAAAGCACCUCUUCCCAUGGCAAGAAAAAUAGAUCUAGUUGGCCUAGCUAAACCAAAGAUUCAAAGAAGAAAUAGGAGACUAUAAGUAAUCAUGCAUAUAAGAGAUCAAAGAAGACUCAAAUAAUAUUCAUGGAUAUAGAUUGGAUCAUAAACUCAAAGUUCAUCGGAUCCCAACAAACACACCGCAAAAAGAGUUACAUCAAAUAGAUCUCCACGAGACCAUUGUAUUGCGAAUCAAAAAGAGAGAAGAAGCCAUAUAGCUACUGCCUACAGACCCGUAGGUCUAUGAUGAACUACUCACGCAUCAUCAAAAAGGCACCAAUGAGGAUGAUGAACCCCUCCGUGAUGGUUUGGUAGAUUGGAUCUGGUGGUUCUGGAACUUGCGGCGGCUGGAAUUGUGUUUUGUUGACUCCCCUAGGGUUUUUGGAAUAUUGGGGUAUUUAUAUAGUGAAGAGGCAGUGCGGGAGGCCACCAAGGUGUGCACAACCAGGUGGGUUGUGCUCCCCUUGGAGCCCCCCUCUAGUACUUCUUUGGCCCAAGCUGUGUCUUCUGGUCCAUAAAAAUUCUCCAAAAAGUUUCACUGUGUUUGGACUCCGUUCGGUACUGAUAUUCCACGAAGUAAAAAACAAGCAAAAAACAGCAACUGGCACUAGGCACCAUGUCAAUAGGUUAGUCCCAAAAAAUGAUAUAAAGUUGCUAUAAAAUGAUUGUAAAACAUCCAAGAAUGAUAAUAUAACAACAUGGAACAAUAAAAAAUUAUAGAUUCAUUGGAGACGUAUCAUUUUCCUACUAAUAUUUAUUGGAAUUUGGACUGUUAUUUCAUUUUAUGAUACAAUUAUUAUGCCUUCUGUCUCUAUUGCAAGUUUCACAUGAAGAGGGAGAUUGCCGACAGCUGGAAUUCUCGACCAGAAAGGGCUAUAUUAGAUAUAACUAUUUUGCACAACUCCAAAUGAACUAAAAAUUGAUGGAGAAUUAUUUUGUAAUAUAUAAAAAUUAUUGGCGAAAGAAACAUCAGUAGGGGACCCACCAUGUAGCCACAAGCCUAGGGGCACGCCCUACCCCCCAGGGUGCGCCCCUGGACUUGUGGGGCCCCUAGCAAGCCUCUGAGGUCCAUGCUCUACUAUAUGAUGCCAUUUGACCUAGAAUUUUUUUUAAGAGGAAGGUUUCGGGACGAAGCGCCACCGUCUCGAGGCGGAGCCUAGGCAGGAGCACUUUUGCUCUCCAGCGGAGCAAUUCCGCCAAGGAAACUUCCCUCCGGGAGGGGGAAAUCGAAACCAUCGACAUCACCAACGAUCCUGUCAACGUGGGUGACUGAUCUUCAUCAACAUCUUCACCAUCACCAUCUUAUCUCAAACCCUAAGUCAUCUCUUGUAUUCAUUCUUUGUCUCAAAACCUUAGAUUGGUAUCUGUGGGUUGCUAGUAGUGUUGACUACAUCCUGUAGUUGAUGCUAGUUACUUUAUUUGGUGGAAGAUUAUAUGUCCAGAUCCUUAAUGAUAUUCAAUACCCCUCUAAACUUGAACAUGAAUAUGAUUUGUGGGUAGUUAAUUUUGUUCUUGAGGACAUGGGUGAAGUCCGGUUAUAAGUAGCCUUGUGAAUUUGGUAUUUGUUCGGUAUCUUGAUGAUAUGUAUGUUGUUGCUUCCUUUAGUGGUGUCAUGUGAACGUCGACUACAUGACACUUCACCAUACUUGGGCCAAAGCGAAGGUAUUGUGGAUUAGUAAUUAGAUGAUGGGUUGCUAGAGCGACAGAAGCUUAAACCCUAGUUUAUGCGCUAUUCCGUAAGGGGUUGAUUUGGAUCCAUAUGUUUCAUGCUAUGGUUAGAUUUGUCUUAAUUCUUAUUUCGUAGUUGCGGAUGCUUGUGAGAGGGGGUAAUCAUAAGUGGGAGGCUUGUUCAAGUAAGAAUAGAACCCAAGCACCGGUCCACCCACAUAUCAAAUUAUCGAAGUAGUGAACGUGAAUCAAACAAACAUGAUGAAAGUGACUAGAUGAAUUCCCAUGUAUUCUCAAGAACGCUUUGCUUGCUAUAAGAGAAAGUUCCGACCUGUCCUUUGCUAUAAAAAGGAUUGGAAUACCUUGCUGCACCUUUGUUACUAUUGCUACUUGUCAGUUGUUACGAACUAUCUUGCUAUCAAACUAUCUGUUACCAACAAUUUCAGUGCUUGCAGAAAAUACCUUGUUGAAAACCGCUUGUCAUUUCCUUCUGCUCCUCGUUGGGUUCGACACUCUUACGUAUCGAAGGACUAUAUAUGAUUGACCCCCUAUACUUGUGGGUCAUCAAUACUCUUUUCUGGAACUGUUGCUGGGGAGUGAAGCGCCUUUGGUAAGUGGAAUUUGGCAAGGAAACAUUUAUAUUACAUGCUGAAAUUUACUAUCACUUGUCACAAUGGAAAGUAAUCCUUUGAGGGUUUUGUUCGGGGUAUCUUCACCUCGACCGAAAGCACAAGGAGUUGCUCCUCAACCUACUGAAAAUAUUUAUUAUGAGAUUCCUUCGGGUAUGUUAGAUAAACUGCUAGCUAAUCCUUAUGCAGGAGAUGGAACGAUACGUCCUGAUAUGCACUUGAUAUAUAUAUAUAUAUAUAUAUAUAUAUAUAGAUGAAGUUUGUGGAUUGUUUAAGCUUGUAGGUUCAUAUGAGGAUGAAGUGAAUAAGAAAGUAUUCCCUUUAUCUUUGGAGGGAAAGGCCUCGACAUGGUAUAUUCUAUUGGAUGAUACUGGAACAUGGGACUGGAACCGGUUGAAAUUGGAAUUUCAUCACAAGGUUUAUCCUGUGCCUCUGGUUCAUCAGGAUCGAAAUUAUAUAUAUAAUUUUUGGCCUCAUGAAGGAGAAAGUAUCUGUCAAGCUUGGAGGAGGCUUAAUUAUGAUAUACACAUGCCCCAAUCAUGAGCUCUCAAGAGAAAUUAUUAUUCAUAAUUUUUAUGCUUGAUUUUCCCAUAAUGAUCGAUCCAUGCUCGACUCUCUUCUAUUGGUUCUUUUAUGUAGAAAACUAUUGAAUUCAAGUGGAAUCUCUUGGAAAUAUUAAACACAACUCUGAAGAUUGGGAAUUCGUCAAAGGUAAAGAGUUAGGUAUAAAUCUUGAGUUUGAUUGUGUCAAAUCUUUUAUGGAAACUGAUGCUUUUCAUAAGUUUAGUACUAAAUAUGGACUUGACUCUGAGAUAGUAGCUACAUUUUGUAAAUCUUUUGCUGCUCAUGUUGAUAUCCCUAAGGAGAAGUGGUUUAAAUAUCAUCCACCUAUUAAGGAAAAAAAUUGAGGAGCCCAUUAUAGUAAAAGAGGAAACAAUGGUUUACAAUGUUGAUCCAGUUGUGCCUACUGCUUAUAUUGAGAAACCUCUUUUUCCCAUUAGGAUUAAGGAACAUGCUAAAGCUACAACUGUGGUUAAUAAAAGUAAUAUUAGAACACCUAGACCCUCUGAACAAAUUAAGGUUGAACCUAAUAUUGCAAUGGUUAAAGAUCUUCUGGUUGAUAAUAUUGAUGAGCUUGUUAUUUACUUUUGUGAUGAUACUGCUAGAAUUGCUAAACCCGUUAGAAAUGAAUGCGAUAUGCUAGAUAAGAAUAAACACAUAGUGGACAUGCCUAUUGUUUCUGUUAAAAUUGGAGAUCAUUGCUAUCAUGGCUUAUGUGAUAUGGGUUAUAGUGUUAGUGCUAUUCCGUUUACUCUAUGUCAAGAAAUUAUGAAUGAUAUUGCACCUGCUGAGGUUGAAGAUAUUGAUGUCACUAUUAAGCUAGCAAAUAGAGAUACUAUUUCACCGCUUGGGAUUGUUUGAGAUGUUGAAGUAUUGUGUGGUAAGAUCAAAUACCCUACUGAUUUCUUAGUACCUGUUUCACAACAAGACAAUUUUUGUCCCAUUAUAUUUGGUAGACCUUUGUUGAAUACUGUUAAUGCUGAAAUUGAUAGUGAGAAUGAGAAGGUUAGAGUUAAAUUUGGUGAUGUUCUCAUGAGUUCAAUUUCUCUAAGUUUAAUAGACAACCUCAUGAAGAAGAAUUGUCAAGUAAGGAUGAAAAUAUUGGUCUUGCUUCUAUUGUUGUUCCUCCUACCGAUCCUUUAGAACAAUACUUGCUAGACCAUGAAAAUGAUAUGCAUACGAAUGAAAGGAAUGAAAUAGAUGAUAUAUUCUUCAAACAAGUACCUAUCCUUAAACAUAACUUGCCUGUUGAAACUCUUGGGGACCCUCUUCCACCUAAGAGUGAUCCCGUGUUUGAAUUAAAAUAAUUACCUGAUACAUUGAAAUAUGUUUAUCUUGAUGAAAAUAAGAUAUAUCAUGUUAUUAUUAGUGCUAACCUUUCAGAGCAUGAAGAAAAGAGAUUAUUAAAAACUCUGACGAAGCACCGUGCUGCUAUUGGAUAUACUCACUAUUGUAGGUUGGUCCAAACGGGACAAUACAAUCAUAGACCCUUUGACAAAACUGUGUGGGAUGCAUUAAUCGCAAAUGGUGGUGUAAGAAAACAGUAAAAAAAUGAUACAAACUGUUUGCGAUGGCUCAAACAUAAAACACGAUUCAGAUUAGAGCCGUGUGUGCGAUAUGUGGCAUAUAGUUGGUCCAUAUGAAAUGUUUGCGAAGAGCACAACAACAGAAAUAGUCAGCCAGAUGAGGGUGUGUGCGAUAUACAACAUCCAGUUCACUCAGAUGAACUGUUUGUGAUUAGACAACACAACAGAAACGGUCAGCCAGAUUAAGGUGUGUGCGAUAGAGGGCAUACAAUUCACUCUGGUGAACUAUUUGCGAUGAGCCAAGACAACAGAAAUGGUUCAGCUGAACAAGAUGUGUGUGAUACACGGCAAAUAGGCCCAUAAUCAGAAAUGUGCGCGAAGACCAAUAAUAACACAGACAAUUACUGCUAAUAAGCCGUGUGUGUUGUGGGCAAACGCUUGCUUUGUCAAUGAUUGAUGAACUCAUCACCGACGGUUUCCCUAGUUUACUCCGUCUACGAUGUGACUUGCUCUGUCUAUAGAAGAACAACAUAUAUAACCAAAAUAAACAUCCAAUUACAUUAGUGACUAUACAAAUCAUUCGCACACACCUCAAUAAACAAUUACAUGCAUUCUAAACUAGGAGAAAUGAUCAUCUAAUCAUCUACUUCUUGUGAUGCUACUGCCACUGCUUUGUGGCUCGAUCCCUUGUCCGGGGAAGGACAAAGGCACUUCCUUAUGUCAAUGAUCCGCCUGUACAUCGCGUAGCUUGUGUACGCGUACAUGGCCGCGUACUUGACGUGUUCUUCAUCUAGUCUCUGCUCCCAAGCAUUGUGCUAGGCGAUCCUGUCCUUCUUGCUCUCAUCCUUCACCUUCGUGUAGUAGGGGUCGAUGAUGGCUGAGGUGAGGUCAACCAGGGAGUUUUGAUUGUUCUUGGUGCUGCCCCUGACCUUGUUGUGGUCAUGGAUGUUUUUUUGACAGAAAGACUGUAAGGGAACCCCCUACAGUAUAAUUGGUGCAACAAACCCAAAUUACAAGUACCAUGCCUUGAACCUGGGUGGGUGGGAAGGCAUCAACCCCUUCCCACCACUAGGCUAUGCCUUAGUCUGCUUGUGGUCAUGGAUGUUGACAAGAUUCUGGUAGGCCAAGCCUGAAACCUUGAGUGCUUUUUGAUUGUCGGUGGUGUCCACCGUAGCGAAACUGUAGUCGACGCUGAUGAUAAACCUGGCAAAACGCUUGCAAGGCCUUGUGGCCAGGUGGUAGUGGUAGACGAGGACGUCAUGGCGCAUGCACAACUGAGAGACGACAACCUUCUGAUCAUGCCCAGUACGACCGUCGGUGAACUCAAGGUCGAAGCCAACCACUUGGUACUUGUCCUCAGCAAGCAACCGCUCCAUAGUUUGGAUGGAGCUCUUCACCGAGACCGACUCAGUCGUGUACACCACCGAGAGAUCCUUCCCCCUCACGUGGGUGUCCACUACGUGAUGCAUGGUGAACUGCCGCCCAUUGUCGUCGUCAACCGCUGGAGCGUCGUUGGAGCCAUGGAGAGCGCCAUUGGAACCGCGGGAUAUCCUCUCUGUAUGUGUUGUCGUGGGUGUGAUUAUUGUGUCGUGUGGCACAAGAGAUUAAGGUAAAUGGCCACGGGAAUAAAUGUGGGCCGGGCGGCCUGGAUUCUCGGCAUGUCCGCAUGGAAGUUUUUGUAGCGGGCAACUGCAUCGUGGCGCCGCGCCCGGCGCAACCGCAUGCGUAAUGGCAGCACGAACGUACGUGGGCCCAAACACUGGCAGAGCGCAUGGAGGGACAAAUUCUCUGUUGCUUAUUGCUUGACUUUGCUUUGGUCUCACCAGUUUAUGCAAUUGGUCUCACCGAGUUGGCUUGACAGAUUCUCUGUUGCUUAUUGCUUCACGUCGGUCCCACUGAGUUGAUGCAAUCGACGCCACCGAGAUGAUGUUUUCCCUAAGCCCUAGCACAUCAGUCCCACCGAGUUGUUCCAGUCAGUCCCACCGAGAUUCCUAACAUUCAUAUUUUUGAACAAAUCGGUGCCACCGAGUUUCCUAAUCGGUGCCACCGAGAUGAGUCAAAAGUGUGUAACAAUUGGAUUUUAUGUGGAGGCUAUAUAUACCCCUCCAUCCCUUCUCCAUUUGAGAGAGAGCUAUCAGAACGUGCCUACACUUCUACCAUCCAUUUUCUGAAAGAGAACCACCUACUCACGUGUUGAGAUCAAGAGACCCCAUUCCAACCUUUUGAACCUUGAUUUUUAGCCUCCCGCAAGUUUGUUUCCACUCAAAUCCCUCUUCCACCAUAGCCAAAUCUGUGAGAGAGACUUGAGUGUUGGGGAGACUAUCAUUUGAAGCAUAAGAGCAAGGAGUUCAUCAUCUACACACCAUCUAUUACCUUUUGGAGAGUGGUGUGAUACGUCUCCAAUGUAUCUAUAAUUUUUUAUUGUUCCAUGCUAUUAUAUUAUCUGUUUUGGAUGUUUUUAUGCAUUAAUAUGCUAUUUUAUAUUAUUUUUGGGACUAACCUAUUAACCUAGAGCCCAGUGCCAGUUUCUGUUUUUUCCUUGUUUUUGAGUUUUACAGAAAAGGAAUAUCAAAUGGAGUCCAACUGGAAUAAAACUUUCAGAUGAUUUUUCUUGGACCAGAAGACACCCAUAGGACUUGGAGAUGAAGCCAGAGGAGUCCCGAGGCAGCCACAAGCCUUAGGGGCGCGCCAUAGGGGGGGCGCCCUGAGGGCUUGUGGGCCCCUUGGAGCUCCUACCACCCUAAUUCUUGGCCUAUAAAUUCACAAAUAUUCCCAAACGACCAGAAGCGUCCACCAAAAUACUUUUCUGCCGCUGUAACCUUCUGUACCCGUGAGAUCCCAUCUAGGGGCCUUUUUUGGCAUCCUAUCGAAGGGGGACUCGAUCAUGGAGGGCUUCUACAUCAACUCUAUUGCCCUUCCGAUGAAGCGUGAGUAGUUUACCUCAGACCUAUGGGUCCAUAGCUAGAAGCUAGAUGGCUUCUUCUCUCUCUUUGAUCUCCAAUACAAUGUUCUCCUCGAUGUUCUUGGAGAUCUAUCCGAUGUAAUAUUCUUUUUGCAGUGUGUUUGUCGAGAUCCAAUGAACUGUGGAUUUAUGAUCAGAUUAUCUAUGAAUAUUAUCUAAAUCUUCUGUAAAUUCUUAUAUGCAUGAUUUGAUAUCUUUGUAUUUCUCUUCAAAUUAUCGGUUUGGUUUGGCCAACUAGAUUGGUUCUUCUUGCAAUGGGAGAGGUGCUUAGUUUUGGGUUCAAUCUUGCGGUGUCCUCACCCAGUGACAUAGUAGGGGUAGCGAGGCAUGUAUUGUAUUGUUGCCAUCAAGGGUAAAAAGAUAGGGUUUUCAUCAUAUUGCUUGAGUUUAUGCCUCUACAUCAUGUCAUCUUACUUAAGGCGUUACUUUGUUCUUUUGAACUUAAUACUCCAGAUGCAUGAUGAAUAGUGGUCGAUGUGUGAAUUAAUAGUAGUAGAUGCAGAAUCGUUUCGAUCUACUUGACACGGACGUGAUGCCUAUAUUCAUAAUCAUUGCCUUGGGUAUCAUCAUAACUUUGCGCUUUUCUAUCAAUUUCUCGACAGCAAUUUGUUCACCCACUGUAUGUUUUCUUUCAAGAGAGAAGCCUCUAGUGAAACCUAUGCCCCCGGGUCUAUUUUCCAUCAUAUAUUUUCAGAUGUAUUAACCAAAAAACCCCAAAAUACCCUGCUGCAAUUUAUUUGUUUUUACAUUGUUUUACGUUUUAGAAAUCUUUUAUACCUAUCUCUAUUAGAUCUCAUCCUUGCAAUUGACCGUGAAGGGAUUGACAACCCCUUUAUCGCGUUGGGUGCAAGUGUUUGAUUGUUUGUGCAGGUGCAUAGAUUGGAUACUUGCUUGUACCUCCUACUAAAUUGAUACCUUGGUUCUCAAACUGAGGGAAAUACUUCUCUACUUUGCUGCAUCACCCUUUUCUCUUCAAGGGGAAAACUAAUGCAAGCUCAAGAAGUAGCAUGAAGAAUUUCUGGCGCCGUUGCUGGGGAGGUUCUACAUCAAGCCUACCAAGUACCCACCAUAAACUCUCAUCUCUUGCAUUACAUUAUUUGCCAUUUGCCUCUCGUUUUCCUCUCCCCCACUUAUAAAAUGAUUUUCAGGAAAUACAAGAUUUGCCUUUUUAUUCGCCCUUCUUCCGUUCGUCUUUUAAUUUGCCUUUUUGUUGCUCGUUUGCUAGAUCGGUUUGUUGCCACCAUGUCUGAACCUGGGGAGGUUAUCAUUGAAAUUUUUGAGAAUAUUGCUAGCAUAAAACUUGAGGAAAAACCUUGUUCUUGUUCUUUAGAUCGUGAAACUGAAACUCCCCCUGAUGGUUGAGUAUGUGGACUUUCCAAAAGGCUCUGAUACAAGACCCUUCCUAAAAAUAUGAUGAAUUGUAGUUGCAAAGUUGACUGAGAACAUAGUUUGUUGGUUUUCAAUAAGGUUUAUGCUCUAUACUUCGAUGCUGUGAUGAAUUGUUACUUGUUCAUGAGAAGUUAUAUGAUAGAAUUAGUAUAAUAAAGUUUGUUGCUCCUAUAAUAAUAAGCAUGAUGCUACUAUGUUUAUAUUUUUUUAUCGACACCUCUCUCUCUAACCAUGUGGACAUGUUUUUCGAUAUCGGCUUUCGCUUGAGGACAAGCGAGGUCUAAGCUUGGGGGAGUUGAUACGUCCAUUUUGCAUCAUGAUUUCAUACUAUUAUUUAUAAUAUUUUUAUGCAUAAUAAUUCGUUAUGGAGUAAUUGUAAUGCCCUUUCUCUCAUAUAUAUGCAAGGUUUACACAAAGAUGGAGAAUGCCGACAGUUGGCUGGACCUGAAAAGCUAUGUCAGAGUUACCUAUUCUACACAUCUCCAAAUGAGCUGAAAAUUUAUGGAGAAAUAUUUUCAAAUAUAUAAAAAAUAAUGAAGCAAAUAACUACGAGAGGGGGUCACCUGGUGACCACAAGACAGCAAGGCGCACCAGGUCCCCCAGGCGAGCCCUGGUGGGUUGUGGCCAGCCCGGCCCACCUUCGGUGCCACCUUAUGGUAUAUAAGUCAUUUUGACCUAGAAAAAAAA
rnacentral:lncRNA from 1 species